rnacentral:rRNA from 1 species
UUCGCCACGCCCGCUCAAGAAACGUAAAGGAAGUAGACGGGGCCCGGCACAAGCGUGGAGCAUGUGGUUUAAUUCGAAGCAACGCGCAGAACCUUACCAACCCUUGACAUGGGUAUCGCGAUUUCCAGAGAUGGAUUUCUUCAGUUCGGCUGGAUACCACACAGGUGCUGCAUGGCUGUCGUCAGCUCGUGUCGUGAGAUGUUCGGUUAAGUCCGGCAACGAGCGCAACCCACGUCUUUAGUUUGCCAGCAUUCAGUUGGGCACUCUAAAGAAAACUGCCGAUGAUAAGUCGGAGGAAGGUGUGGAUGACGUCAAGUCCUCAUGGCCCUUACGGGUUGGGCUACACACGUGCUACAAUGGCAGUGACAAUGGGUUAAUCCCUAAAAGCUGUCUCAGUUCGGAUUGGGGUCUGCAACUCGACCCCAUGAAGUCGGAAUCGCUAGUAAUCGCGUAACAGCAUGACGCGGUGAAUACGUUCCCGGGCCUU